rnacentral:misc_RNA from 1 species
AAAACAAUGGAGACGGAUCGAGAGAAGCAAGAGAGGGAGGGGACAUUGAAUCAACCACCGCAAAUUUCACCGAUGAAGCCGGUGAAUCGUGAAGCGUACGGUGGUGGAAUGUACGCUGAUGAGCCGGGCCAACCACAAAAAGUAAACAAGAAACCUGCUAGUGAGACCCAAAGCGCGGACGGAGCGGAUGAGAAGGCCACCACCGAGCCCAAACACAAACCGUCACCUUCUACUGGCGAUCGAGAUCUUGACAUCACAGGCCAAUCUUACAUUCAGUGAUUAACGUUGAUUUCUUAGAAUGUAUCUUCUCAUGUGUGUGGUUUUUGAUUUAUGUUGUUGCUGAAAUCCUUUCUUUGUAAUAGUCAAAACGCAAGUUCCAUUCUGUAGGAGGUAGGCCUAGGAUUCUUCCUUAGGGUUCGGGCUUGACUUGAGUUGGACCAUGAAGCCCAAAAUAAAUCCAGCCUGCUCGAUGGUGUCUGUGCAAAGUUUAAUUAUAUUCGUCUAUCCGUUAAAUGGCAUUGUGGUCAUUUUAAUUUCGUA